rnacentral:rRNA from 1 species
CCUACGGGGUGCAGCAGUGGGGAAUAUUGGGCAAUGGGCGCAAGCCUGACCCAGCAACGCCGCGUGAAGGAAGAAGGCUUUCGGGUUGUAAACUUCUUUUCUGAGGGACGACGAAAGUGACGGUACCUCAGGAAUAAGCAACGGCUAACUACGUGCCAGCAGCCGCGGUAAUACGUAGGUGGCAAGCGUUAUCCGGAUUUAUUGGGUGUAAAGGGCGUGUAGGCGGGAAAGCAAGUCAGAUGUGAAAACUCAGGGCUCAACCCUGAGCCUGCAUGUGAAACUGUUUUUCUUGAGUGCUGGAGAGGCGAUCGGAAUUCCGUGUGUAGCAGUGAAAUGCGUAGAUAUACGGAGGAACACCAGUGGCGAAGGCGAAUUGCUGGACAGUAACUGACGCUGAGGCGCGAAAGCGUGGGGAGCAAACAGGAUUAGAUACCCCUGUAGUC